rnacentral:miRNA from 1 species
UCUUGCCAAUGCCAUCCAUUCC